GUGGGGGGUCGCUGUUAUAAGACUCCCAAACCAUUGUGACGUACCCGUCAGCGUUGCCUCGGCGGGCGGCCCCUCCCUGGGGCCGCUGCCUCCCUCGGGGGGUGCCCGCCGGCGUACCAAAACUCUUUUGUAUUUUAGUGGCCUCUCUGAGAAAACAAGCAAAUAAGUUAAAACUUUCAACAACGGAUCUCUUGGUUCUGGCAUCGAUGAAGAACGCAGCGAAAUGCGAUAAGUAAUGUGAAUUGCAGAAUUCAGUGAAUCAUCGAAUCUUUGAACGCACAUUGCGCCCGCCAGUACUCUGGCGGGCAUGCCUGUUCGAGCGUCAUUUCAACCCUCAAGCCCCGCUUGGUGUUGGGGUCCUACGGCUGCCGUAGGCCCUGAAAGCUAGUGGCGGGCUCGCUAUAACUCCGAGCGUAGUAGUAAAAUAUCUCGCUAGGGAGGUGUCGCGGGUUCCGGCCGUGAAAGCCCAUCUUUUACACAAGGUUGACCUCGGAUCAGGUAGGAAUACCCGCUGAACUUAAGCAUAUCAAUAAGCGGAGGAA
rnacentral:rRNA from 1 species